GAUGAACGCUGGCGGCGUGCCUAAUACAUGCAAGUCGAGCGGUAAGGCCCUUCGGGGUACACGAGCGGCGGACGGCUGAGUAACACGUAGGAACGUACCCCAAACUGAGGGAUAAGCACCAGAAAUGGUGUCUAAUACCGCAUGUGGCCCACGGGCUAAAGCUCCGGCGGUUUGGGAACGGCCUGCGUCCGAUUAGCUAGUUGGUAGUGUAAUAGACUACCAAGGCGACGAUCGGUAGCUGGUCUGAGAGGAUAAUCAGCCAGACUGGGACUGAGACACGGCCCAGACUCCUACGGGAGGCAGCAGUAGGGAAUCUUCCACAAUGGGGGCAACCCUGAUGGAGCAACGCCGCGUGCAGGAUGAAGGCCUUCGGGUUGUAAACUGCUUUUAUCUGUGACGAUUAUGACGGUAGCAGAUGAAUAAGGGCCUGCUAACUACGUGCCAGCCGCCGCGGUAA
rnacentral:rRNA from 1 species